GUUGAACGCUGGCGGCAUGCCUAACACAUGCAAGUCGAGCGGAUGAAGGGAGCUUGCUCCUGGAUUCAGCGGCGGACGGGUGAGUAAUGCCUAGGAAUCUGCCUGGUAGUGGGGGAUAACGUCCGGAAACGGGCGCUAAUACCGCAUACGUCCUGAGGGAGAAAGUGGGGGAUCUUCGGACCUCACGCUAUCAGAUGAGCCUAGGUCGGAUUAGCUAGUUGGUGGGGUAAAGGCCUACCGAGGCGACGAUCCGUAACUGGUCUGAGAGGAUGAUCAGUCACACUGGAACUGAGACACGGUCCCGAAUCCCACGGGAGGACGCAGUGGGGAAUAUUGGACAAUGGGCGAAAGCCUGAUCCAGCCAAGCCGCGUGUGUGAAGAAGGUUUUCGGAUUGUAAAGACCUUUAAGUUGGGAGGAAGGGAAGUAAGUUAAUACCUUGCUGUUUUGACGUUACCAAAAGAAUAAGCCCCGGCUAACUUCGUG
rnacentral:rRNA from 1 species